UUAAGUCCCGCAACGAGCGCAACCCUUGUCUUUAGUUGCCAUCAUUAAGUUGGGCACUCUAAAGAGACUGCCGGUGUCAAACCGGAGGAAGUGGGGAUGACGUCAAGUCCUCAUGGCCUUUAUGACCAGGGCUACACACGUACUACAAUGGCAGGUACAAAGGGCAGCCACUUAGCGAUAAGGCGCGAAUCCCGUAAAACCUGUCUCAGUCCGGAUUGGAGUCUGCAACUCGACUCCAUGAAGUUGGAAUCGCUAGUAAUCGCAGAUCAGCACGCUGCGGUGAAUACGUUCCCGGGCCUU
rnacentral:rRNA from 1 species